rnacentral:lncRNA from 1 species
CUCAUCCUUUGGAGCUAUUAACAUUACAUCCCAUAUAUGUUGUUGUUCCAGAAAGAUUUUUCCUCAUGGGUCAUUCAUACCUAAGUGGGAGAAUUGUUUUCAAAUGCAAAGCAUCAGCAAGAAACAAGUAAGUAACAAUACCCCUUUUAACUUCAAAUCCGUUCAAAUAAUAAAAUAAAAUAAAAACGUUUUUUGGUAUGAGUUUUUUUUUUUCGUUUAACUCUGCGUGAUAUAAUUGACAAGAAACGUCUUUACUGCACGCUAAUAUUUUCAAUAUAUAUGUGUCCUACUUGAAGUUGAGCUAGAAUUCAACUAUUACAAAUCUAUAAGUGUUAGCUCCCUUUUUCUUUUUCUUGUUCUUUUCUUUCUUUCCUUUGCCGGGGUCUAUUUGGAAACAGUUUCCUUUGCCGGGUGAAAACAGUCUGUUUACCCUAGGGAAGGGGAAGGUCUGCGUAUACUCUACCCCAGACCUCACUAAAUAUGAUUAUGCUGGGUUGUUGUUGUUGUUCUUUCUUUCCUUCCGGAAUGUUUGCUUGCUUUUUAUGCUUUUAUUCAUUACCAAACUGUAUCUUUCUGGAAUUCAUGCCAGAAUAUUUUGAGAGAGCAUACAUACGUAGAUGUUAUUGGAUCAAUUUCAAAAAGCAUAGCCUUCACUUAGAUAAUGAUGAUUGGAUAAGCGAGUCUCAUCCUACAAGAAUUGCGCAGUUGUCAAGAUAUAUAUAUAUAUAUAACGAAUUCUUAUUCUAUCUUCCGAUUUACUAAAUAAGCCAGACUGUUAGAGGUCAACUUAACUUAAUGGUACAAAAAUAUUUUUGCAUUGACAGCUCACAUAACUUAACAUAUUGUAUGGAGUCUUUACUACAAUUGUCAUUUGGGGUUUUUCUUUAUUUUAAUUUCUAUAUGAAGAUUAAUUAGUACUGGCAGAGUCUUAACUUUCUUUUUCCACCUUUAAUUUUCAACUAAAUUGAAGUAGAUUCAAUGGAGAUUAAUUGAAACCUCUUUUGCUAUUUCAUUUCUUGUUUGGGUAGACAAAUCUACAUGCUUGUGGUCCCAAUUAACGAAACAAGUAUAGCAGACAUAAACUGGCUUACCUCACUGUGUUGUUGAUCGUCAUAAAAUGAAGGCAUUGAAGAGUUCUGUCCAUUCCAUUCAUUACGAAUGAAACAGUGCCUGACGUAAAGUAAUUUACCCUAGUCUCUCGACCCCAAAGGAAAAAACGAAUAAAAGAAAAUAGCUCGAAAGGUAAAAGUAAGUUGCUUGAAAUUUUUCCCCUUCGAAAGUGAAAAGAUUAUACCAUGUUGUUGGAGGCCUUUUAACUAUGGCCACAACUUUUUAACCUCUACCUUUUUUUUAAGGUGAAAUUUCAAUCAAACUUGGGAACUUUGAUCAUUACGUAACUUCAACGACUUAAUUUCAUCUUUAGCUAAAAGGGGUAACUUUAAAAGAUAACGUUUCAAAAAGUAAAAAAAUGAAAAAUGAGUACUCCAAAAGAAUCUUGAUGUAAUUGGAGCUGCUAAUAUAGUGUAUAUUUAUUCUUUUUAAUUGUUAAAAGAAACCUAAAAACUUAACAGCAACUGGACAUGGCCGUACCUCUAUUUUCUGAUUUGUCAAAACUCACAUGCUCUUUUAGGAUCCAAGGCUGUGAGGUUGAUAUAGUAGUAUAUGCAAUUAAGACUACUUGGGAUGGGCGUUUUUGAGUGGGAUGGGGGGGCGUCUUUGUUUUCUUUUUCAACUUUGAAGCUAAACAUUGAGAGUCCCAAAGGCAAAGGAGUUACGUAGAUAUGUGGUGAGACCUGAUUUUUAAUUUUUUUUAAUAAAGGUAGUCCUUUGAACAUAGUUCUAAUUUUCAAAAUAAAGGCACUCUUUAUGAUACCCUUUAUCACAUGACUCCGACUUUCAACAACCUUACUCCAAAUAUGAGCACUCAUAUCACAUGCCAAGAAACUAUUCACCGUUUCGAGUCUCGUUCUUCAAAAAUUUUUAGUUGAAGUUAUUCCAUUUUCCCAACCACAAAAAAAUAAAAUAAAAAAUAAAAAAUAAAACAACUCGAAAACUAGCGUUUUGGUUGAUCCGUAUUCUUACUGCGGAUGGUGGGAGCAGUGUGGCUGUGUAUGUCCAAAUUCAGCAAAUAUCAUGUCGAGUGCACUUAUUAAAACGCACUUUGCGAUUUUUUGUUAUAUCAACUACUCGAAGCUAUGAAUAAAGCAGUAUUACUGAAAACUCACGGUACUACAUACAUUUUUUAGUGUAAGACGAUAGAAUAUUUUUUCGGGCAUCUAAGUAAGGAUUUCUGCGUAAUAUGGUUUAAUGACUGGAUUAUUCCUCUGUGGCUUAAGAAAAUAAUAAUAAAAAUUGUGAAACCUUUUUUUUAUAACUAUUGUAAAUAACUCUUAGUAGGUAGUCAACACAUCAGAAAAUGUCAAUCAAUUAACAUAAGCACAUGAUCAACAAGUUGCUCGUGCUUUUAAUUAGUUUUAUUUUCGUUUAAUGAGUUGGCAUUGAUUUAUUAGAAAUAAGUUGCAUUUGUUUACCCUAAAAACCUGGUAACAAGUAAACUUAUAAUGUGAUUUUAAGGAUAUAUGAUUUCACAUAAUAUCAAUUGAUUAAAAUAAAAAUAUUUUAUGGGAAUUGACAAGAAUGUAACACAAACCAAUGCUUGGACAGUGCCCUCGAGCUAGUGAACCCUCGAGCUUAGUAAAGUAAGAACAAUUAAAGAAUUGAUAAAUCAGAGAAAGAGAGAAAUAUUAUAUUACCUGAAUAUACGUCAAUGUAAGAUUUCUAAUAAAUGAUUAGGAGCUCUUUAUAUAGCAGAAUAAUUCUACUUAAGGUACAAUUUUAAAUAUAAAAAAAAAUGUCAUGAUAGGCUGAACAACUGGUCUUGACUUGAUUCGUUGCCGAGAUUCUCGAAAAAACCUCGGCAGAUUCCGUAUAUCUCGAUUUUCUGUUAUGACUUAGCUUUGAUCUCCAUCUUACUUGGUCUCAAUCUUGGUUGAGCUCGAAUAAUCGAUCCAGGGUCUCGAUAACUCAACACCGCGUCAUAGAUAAAAAUUGAGAUCCAAACUUGAUCUACCACGUUCCAGCCCUAGUUAGUCGAACAAAAAGGGGCAUCCCAAUUUUGACCGAAUACAGAUAGUCCCCUUGUUUUUUCGGAGUGUAAUGACAAGAAACAAAUUGAGUCCGAGUUUCUUUGCUUGUUUUUCUUAAACAACCCAGUAUUCCCAUUUUAUUCUUCCUUGCUCACAAAAACUAAAUGGUCAAAACAUCUAAAACAGUCCCGUAAAAGCAAACUGCUCAGAUUCGAUCCAAGGAGGUUGUCGUGCGCACCAAGUGUCAGACUUGGAUGGAGGACCUUCAAAAAACCCAUGCUCGGAGCAUUGAUCUUUCGACCGAGAUUGAUGGCCCCCGGAUGACCAUUUGAACUAGAGUUUGAGUAGCUCUUAGGCUUAAGAGUCGAGUGAGAAUUUGCUUGAACUUGAAGUAAAGUUAGCCUUAGGCUUUAUAUAUAGCCCCCGAGUGAAAUUUUUCACGAAAAAAACGGGUUAAGAUAGUUUAGGCUUUUAUAAUCGAGUUAGGACUUGCUCGAACUCUAAGUGAAGUUAGCCCUUAUGCUUUAUAGUCGAGUAAGGAUUUGCUCAAACUCUAGUAAAGUUAGCCCUUAGGCUUUAUGGAUACUCCCCGAGUGAGAGUUUGUUCGAACUCGGGUUAAGAUAAUCCUUGGACUUUUGUGUUCAAGUGAGGACUUGCUCGAACUCGAAGUGAAGUUAGCCCUUAGGCUUAAUAGUUGAGUAAGGAUUUGCUCAAACUAAAGUAAAGUUAGCCUUUAGGCUUUAUAGAUAGUCCACGAGUGAGAGUUUUCUCGAACUCAGAUUAGGAUAGCCCUUGGGCUUUCAUGAUCAAGUGAGAACUUGCUCGAACUCGAAGUAGAAGUAGCCCUUAGGCCUUUGUAUUUGUUACAAAUUCUGGAUGUCUCUGAUCUGAAUUAAUUUUUCCUUAGCCUCUUUAGUUCGGAUCUUUCCCUUUGGCUUUAUUAUUCAUCUCACUUCGACCUUGCCCAAAUUUGUUGGUCCCUGAUUGGGGGUGCCCACGGCCUAUAAAAUUGAGUCUGAGUUCCUAUGCUUGCUUUCCUCAAACAACCCAAUAUUAAAAUCUCUAUUCUUCCUUGCUCAAAAAAACAAAAUGGCCAAAACAUCUAAACCUGUUCCAUAAAAGCAAACUGCUCAGGUUUGGUCAAAGGAGGUUGCCGAGCGCGCCAAGUGUUAGUCUUGGAGAGAGGCCCUUAAAAAAACCCAUGAUUGAAGCAUUGAUCAUUCGACCGUGUUUGAUGGCCCCCGAAUGACCAUUUGAACUAGAUCUUGCGUAACUCUUAAGCUUAAGAAUCGAGUGAGAAUUUGCUCGAACUCGAAGUAAUAUUAAAAUUAGGCUUUAUGGAUAGUCCUCGAGUGAUAUUUUUCUCAAAAUCGGGUUAAGAUAGUUUGGGACUUUAUGAUGGAGUGAGGACAUGCUCAAACUCAAAGUGAAGUUAGCCCUUAGGCUUUAUAGUCUACUAAGUAUUCGCUAAUACUAGAAGUAAAGUUAGCCCUUAGGCUUUAUGGAUAGUCCCCGAGUGAGAGUUUUUUCGAACUCAGGUUAAUAUAACCUUUGGGCUUUUAUCUUCGAGUAAGGACUUGAUUAAACUCGAAGUGAAGUUAGACCUUAGGCUUAAUAGUUGAGUGAGGAUUUGCUCGAACUCGAAAUAAAGUUUGCUUUUAGGUUUUGCAGAUAGUCAACGAGUGAUAGUUUUCUCGAACUCAGGUUAGGAUAGCCCUUGGGCUUUUAUGAUCGAGUAAGGACUUGAUCAAACUUGAAGUAGAAGUAGCCCUUAGGCCUUUGUAUUUGUUACGGAUUUUGGACAUUUCCGAUCUGUGUUACUUUGUCCUUAGCCUCUUUAGUUUGGAUCUUGCUCUUUGGCUUUAUUAUUCAUCUAACUUCCACCUUGCCCGAAGUGUUGGUUCCUGAGUGGGGUAGCCAAGGCCUGUAAAAAUUAAGGGUUGCCUUUAAGGUCAUAUGGUCUUUAAAUUUUAGUAGUUUGAUUUCAUUUGUUUUUUUUACGGCAGUCCUUGAGCAUGGGGUUAGUUGUUCGAACUUCCAUCAUGAUCGGCCCUUACACUUUUUCACAUUAUAGAUCAAGAGUAUGAAGUAGGAAAAUUUUCUAAAGGUACGAGAUAUUGGAAAGGAAAUAUACUUAUCUCAUAGAUGAUUAUACAUGCAUGCAUGUUUGAUGUUAGGGCUCGAAUAUCCUAUGUGGGCAUGGUUCGUUUGACUGUUUGACCCUUACAUCAUUUUCCUAUUGAAAACCCUCUAUCAUGAAGUAAUUUCUUUGCAACAAAAUAGACAUUCGAUAGAAAUGUCCCCCAUCACUCGAGGCUUAUUAUAGGGAACCUGGGAUACAGUCGAAUUGCUCUAAGAUAGCACGAAAAAUGGUUGCCUCAUUAAAAACCUCGCCGGAAAAAUCCAUUUGGGACAAAAAUCAGUCUAAGAGAAAAAGAGUACAAUGCGUGCUUUAAGAUCCAAUGCUUCAUGCCUAUCCUUGUCGAUAGCCUGCAAGUGUUAGUUGGAAAAAAUAAAAAGAAUUGGAAUGGGGUUGUACCUUCAUUUAGAUUUUGGAUAUUUAACGUGAUCUCCCAAAGUAUCAAGUCCCCGUUAACUUUUACCUCAAUCACUUCUCCUCUCAUUUCGUGUGAAGCUAUGUCCAGACCCGCUGCUUCUACGAUAUCUGUUGUACGGUUGAUAUCGAUCAAUAUUCGACCUUGGCUCUCGGUCGAUAUAAAUUUUGAUCCUAUACAUGGGCCUGUUAGGAUAAACACAAUUGGAAGGAGUUCCCAGUUGAUCAUCCUCGACCCUGAUCUUCGACUGAUAUCGAUUAUGCACGUCAGCCCAAGUGACAGCUAGAUACUCGAUAAAACUUUGUUUCAACUGCUAUGAAGCUAUGGAACUCCAUUCGUUGAGACCUUGAGUGAAUGCUUGAAUAGCCCAAUCGUCGGUGACCGGUGGCAGGUCCAUCAGUUCCCUUUAUAAUCGGCAUACGAAUUCCCUGAGCGUAUCAUUAUGUUUUUUCCAUACCUCGAAUAGGUCCAACAUUCUAGUUGCAACCUUAAUGGAAAAGGCAUGUGCCUUUAAGAAGAAUCUACAAGCAUAGAAAAUGAAUCAAAAGAAUUAGGUGGUAAAUUAUGGUGCCAUGCCAUGGUACCCUGUCACGACUAGAAUUUCCCUCCAUCAGGUGUCGUGAUGGCGCCUAUAAUCGGAGCUAGACAAGACAAACAUUGAAAUACAGUCUCCACUUUCAUUUAACACUAAUAAUAACAAGGAAAUUAAAUUAAAGCCGGAGUCUUCUAAAAACAUAAAAAAAAUGAAUACAGAAAUGCGAAAGUUUCAAAUUUUACUUCUACCCAGUAUCCGGUGUCACUACUCACGGCCUACUAUGAAAUACUAAAACCAGAGUCUAAAAUAAAUACAUAAUGUGUCUGUCUCGAUACAACGAAAACAAACAGUACUAAAGAAGGGACUUCGGCCUGCGAACACCAGCUAGGCUACCUCGAAAAUCUCUGGACUGAAGAUAGCUCCCAGAAGUCCUACUGCUUCGGUCCGUAAGCUGCGUCCUGAUCUGUGCACAAAAAAACACAGAGUGUAGCAUCAGCACAACAAACACUAUGUGUUGUUAAGUGCCUGGCGUAACCUUGGCGAAUUAUUGACGAGCCUAGACAGGACUUACCACAAAUAACGUGUACAGAUAUAUAUACAAUAAUAGGAAAACACACUCUAUUUAAUAGUUAAGAGGGAAGGGAACAUGCUAUGGGAUGAGACAGUUAAAUAUACAGUUAUCGGAUAAGAAGUAAAAUAGCACAACAACAACUGAUAAGGAAUAGCACAAGAUACUCUACAUACGGAGACAAUACGCUUAAUCCACAUUCUGUUGCAGGGAGCAACCCGAUCCUCAUCAUCUUACACCGUUGCGGCGUGCAACCCAAUCCUCAAUGUUUAACACCGUUGUGGUGUGCAACCGGAUCCUCAAUGUUGAACACUGUUGCACUGUGCGACCCGAUUCUCAACGUUUAAUACCAGAAAUUCACUCAACAACAAUCAAAACUCAAGUGCGAGGGAAGUGACAAUAAAACAAGGAGUCCCGACAACGAAAUAUCACUAACAACUCAAAUAUCCCGACAAAAAAAGAAAAUACAAUAAUAACAGUCAACUCGUCCCAGCAAGGGAAUCAUUUCAACACAUUCUCUUUUAACUCAACACUUUAUAUGGAAUUUAUCAAUUAAACAAGACAAUUGUGUCACAUCUUUCGAAUUAAUAGAAAUUACGACUCACGAUCAUGCUAGACUUUGGUGCAUACAUAACUGUCACCAUGAUUAUACACCGUACUCCACAUUUAGCACAUAGAAAUUAGCAUCCUAAUCUUACUCUCUCAAGCUAGAGUUAGAUCAAACACUUACCACAAAAGCUCCAAACUCAACUCAAUCCUCUAGAAUAGCUUUACCCCUCGAAUUAGCCACAAAACCGCUCGAAUCUAGUCACAAAUUACUAAAAUGUAUCAACAAUUUCUAGUUAAAUCAAUUUGAAUGCAUGAGAAUGAAUUUCCCAAAGUUCUGCUCAAAAAUUCCCAAAACACCCCCAUACCCACGUGGUUAAAACCCGAGGUUCGAACCAAAAUCCAGUUACCCAUUUCCCCCCGAGUUCACACCUAUAAUUUGUUUUGAAAUCGGACCUCAAAUUGAGGUCCAAAACCCCAAUUUAGUGAAAACCUAAGUUCUACCCAAAAUCCCCAUUUUCACCCACGGAAAACUUGAUUUUAUGAUGAAAAUAUGAUAAAUGAUGUUGAAGAUUGAAGAAGUUGAGUAAACAUUGACUUACAAAUGAUUUGGAGAAGAGGGAGUUCGUGAGAAAUCGCCCGUGGCUGUUUGGGUUUUGAAAAUUUGAUAAAUAAGCUGUAAGAAUCAUCUAAGUAUAAAAUAUGGAGGUGUAGGUGUGGGAAUUGCGAAACUGGGUUCGCAAAUGAGAACCCAUCAGACUUGGAAUUUGUGAGAUUUUGUUCGUAUUUGCAGACUAAGGCAGGAAGGGCGGAUAUCGCAUUGUGAAGAGGGUGUUCGCAUUUGCGAACUCUGGGCUUCAGGACGGGGAUCACAUUUGUGAUGACUGUCUUCGCAUUUGCGAAAACUGGGCUAUAAUGCAGACAUCACAUUUGUGAUGUUUUCUUCGCUUUUGCGAAGUCUGCUGCAUCAGGGGGAAUGUCGCAAUUGUAAGGCUGGCUUCGCAGUUGCGAAGCCUGCAGGUCAGGCAUGCUAGCAAUUUUUCCAACAUUAAAAAAAUGGACUCUUGGCCUAUCCAAAACUCUCUCGAGCCUUCGGGCUCCAAACCAAACAUGCACACAACCUCAACCACAUCUUAUGGCUUACUCGUGCGAUCAAAUUGCCAAAAUAACAUAAAAAUCUAUGAAUCAAGCCUCAAAACACUUUUUUCUUCUUUCAAGUCUCAAAAACAUCAAAUUUCCCAUUUCUAGUCCGAAACCCGUCAAAUGAGGUCUGUUUGCAACCAAACUUUACAGAUAGAACUUAACACAUAUUUAAGACAUUUACCGAGCAACGGAACCAAAAUAUGGGCUCGAUACCUAAAUUUUCUAACUCAUUUUUAUUUCAAAUUUUCAUAUCAAAUUUUAGAAAACAAUUUCUUUGAAAAAUUCUAUUCUCUGGCUCGGGACCUCGGAUUUUGAUUCUGGGAAUACGCCCGAGUCCCAUAAUUUUCUAUAGACCUCCCGGAUUCGUCACAUCGUGGGUCCGGAUCCGUUUACCCAAAAUGUUUACCAAAUUCAUCUUUAUCAAUAUUAUUACAAAAUUCUUCAAAUUAUUCACAGAAUUCACAUAUUUUAAAAUAACAACUUUCAUGCUAAGCGCCUGAACUAUGCACGCAAAUCAAGGCAACUAAAAGUGAGGUUUUUAAGGCCUCGAAAGCACGAAAAAGGGAAAAAUUUUGGUGAUGACCCAAAGGGUCAUCACAUCCUCCACCUAUAAAACAAUCGUUCGUCCUCGAACGGAAAAAAGAAAGAAGUACUUGAGUCGAGGAAUAGAUGAGGAUAAUUGCUCCGAAUAUCAGACUCGUACUCCUAGGUUGAUGCCUCAGGAGGUUGACAUCUCCACUGAACACGCAGUGAAGGAAAAUUAUUCGAUCUCAUCUGUCGAACCUGCCGGUUUAAUAUAGCCAUCGGCUCCUUCUCAUAUGACAGAUCCUUGUCUAAUUAGACAGUGCUGAAAUCUAAUACGUGGGUUGGAUUGUCGUGGUACCUCCGAAGCAUGGAUACAUGAAAAACUGGAUGCACGGUUGACAAGCUAGGCGGCAAGGCAAGUCUAUAAGCGACCUCUCCCACACGAUCAAAAAUAUAAAAUGAGCCAAUGAACCUAGGGCUAAGCUUGCCCUUCUUCCCGAAUCUCAUCAUGCCCUUCAUAGGCGAUACACGGAGCAAUACUCACUCACCAACCAUGAAAACAUCUCUGACUUUGCGAUCUGCAUAACUCUUCUGCCUAGACUGAGCUAUCCAAGUCUAUCCUAAAUGAACUUGACCUUUUCCAAGGCCUCUUGAACUAGAUUUGUGCCCAACAACCGAGCCUCUCUCGGCUCAAACCAUCCCACUGAAGACCAAUAUCGCCUACCAUACAACGCCUCAUAUGGAGCCAUCUGAAUGCUGGACUGGUAGAUGCUAUUGUAGGCGAACUCUGCUAAAGGCAAAAACUGGUCCCGCGAGCCUCAAAAAUCAAUAACGCAGGCUCGGAGCAUAUCCUCAAGAAUCUGAAUAGUCCUCUCAUAUUGACUAUCCAUCUGGGGAUGAAAUUUUAUACUCAACUGAACCUGGGUGCCCAACUCCUGCUGUACCGCUCUCUAGAAAUGCGAGGUAAACUGCGGGCCUCGGUCCGAAAUGAUAGACAUAGGAACCCUAUGAAGGCAAACGAUCUCCCUGAUAGAAAUCUCAGCUAAUCUCUUGGACGAAUAGGUGGUGGCAACCGAAAUAAAAUACGGUGACUUAGUCAGCCUAUCAACAAUGACCCAUAUAGCAUCAAACUUCUUCCGAGUCAUCAGAAGGCUAGAAACGAAAUCCAUUGUAAUCUUCUCCCACUUCCACCCGGGAAGCUCAAUCCUAUGAAAUAACCCACUGGGCCUCUAAUGCUCGUACUUAACCUACUGAUAGUUCAAACAACGAGCCACAUAUGCAAUAAUGUCUUUCUUCAUUCUGCGCCACCAAUAGUGUUGCCUCAAAUCCUUAUACAUCUUCGCGGUGCCCAGAUGAAUGGAAUACCAAGAACUAUGGGCCUCUUCUAAGAUCAACUCUUAAAUACCAUAAAUAUUGGGCACAAAAACUCGCCCCCUGCAAUCUCAAUACACCAUCAUCCGCCAAGGUCAUUUUCCUGGCACCUCCACGCUGCAUCGUGUCUCUCAAGACACAUAAAUGAGGAUCAUCAAACUGCCGCUCAAGGAUACGCUCCAACAACGAUGAUUGAGAGACUGUGCAAGCUAACAUUCUGCUCGACUCAAAAUUAUCCAACCUCACAAAUCGAUUGGCCAAGGAUUACACAUCCAAAGCAAGCGGUCUCUGGCUGACCGGAAUGUAAGCGAGACUACCCAUGCUGGCAGACUUCCUGCUCAAUGCAUCGGCCACCAUAUUGGCCUUUCCUGGGUGGUAUAAGAUAGAAACAUCAUAGUCUUUCAACAACUUCAACCACCUGCUCUGCCUCAAAUUCAACAUCUUCUGUUUGAACAAGUACUGAAGGCUCUUAUGAUCCGUGUACACCUCACACGUCACACCAUAUAGAUAAUUCCUCCAAAUUUCAAAGCAUGAAGAAUGGCUGCCAACUCUUGGUCAUGAACUGAAUAAUUCUUCUCGUGGAUCUUUAAAUACCUCAAAGCAUAUGCUAUGACUUUUCCAUUCUGCAUCAAUACUACACUCAGCCCAAUAUGAGAAACAUCAAAAUCAACAGCAUAAGGCCCUGAUCAUGUGGGCAAAACCAAUACCGGUGCCAUAGUCAAAGCUAUCUUGAGCUUCUGGAAGCUCGCCUACACUCAUCUAACAACCUGAACUGGGCACCCUUCUAGGUCAAUUUUGUCAUCGGGGCUGCAAUGGAUGAAAACUCCUCCACGAACCGUCAGUAGUAACUUGCUAACCAAAAGAAACUCUGGAUCUCUGUAGUUGAUGCCGGUUAAGGCCAGUUCUUGACUGCCUCAAUCUUCUUAGGGUCCACCUGAAUACCCUCUACUAAAACAACGUGAACCAGGAAUGCAAAAAAAUUCAACCAAAACUCGCACUUCGAGAACUUGGCGUAUAAAUGACUAUCUUUCAGAGUCUUAAGAACCAUUCUGAGGUGCUGCACAUGCUCCUCCUGACUGCGAGAGUAUAUAAGAAUGUCCUAAAUGAAAACAAUCACAAAUAAAUAAAAAUAUGGCCUCAACAAUCGGUUCAUCAACUCCAUAAAUGCCGCCAGGGCAUUGGUCAACCCAAAUGACAUGACCAAAAAUUCAUAAUGCCCAUACCAAGUGCAAAAUACUGUCUUAGGGACAUCAGAUGACCUAAUCCUCAGCUGAUGAUAACCAGAUCUCAAAUCUAUCUUCGAGAACACCCUCACACCAUGAAGAGUAUUGAAUAAAUAAUCAAUCCUGGGCAGUGGAUACUUGUUCUAUAUCGUGACGUUGUUCAACUGCCAGUAAUCAUGCACAUCCUCAUCGACCCAUCCUUUUUCUUCACAAAUAACACUGGCGCACCCAAGGCGAUACACUAGGUCUAAUGAAACCUAUAUCAAGCAAAUCCUGAAGUUGUUCCAUUAACUCUUUCAACUCUGGUGGGGCAAUGCGAUAUGGUGGAAUGGAAAUAGGCUGACUGCACGGAGCGAGAUCAAUACAUAAAUAAAUAUUCAUGUCGGGCGGCAUACCCGGCAGGUCUAAAAGGAAACCUCAGGGAACUCCCGAACAAUAGGAACAGAGUCAAUAGAUGAAACCUCUACGCUGACGUCACGAACAUACACCUGAUAUGAUAGACACCCAUUCUCAACCAUGCGUCGAGCCUUGACAUAUGAAAUAACACUGUGGGUGGCAUGACCUGGGGCCCUCUCCACUUAAGUCGGGGCAUGUUUGGCAAAUCCAAGGUCACGGUCUUGGCGUGACAAUCCAAAAUAGCAUGAUAUGGGGACAACCAGUACAUCCCAAAGAUAACGUCGAAUUCCACCAUAUCUAAGGGCAAUAAGUCAACACGGGUAUGAAGACCCUCAAAUACUACUAGACAGGAAUGAUGCACUCGGUCGACCAUAAUAGAAUCACCCACCAGUGUAGAUACAUAAACAAGAACACCCAAGGCAUCGCUAGGCAUAACCAAGUAGGGUGCAAAAUAGGACGACACAUAUGAAUACAUAGAUCCAGGGUCAAAUAGCAAUGAAGCACCUCUAUCACCGACCACUAUAGUACCUGCAAUGAUAGCACCAAAAGACUAGGCCUAUGGCCUGGCUAGCAAAGCAUAACAUCGGGGCUGGGCCCCACCUCCCUAAACUAUGUCUCUGGACGAUCUGCUACUGGCGUGACCCCUGUCUCUGGUGGCCUGAGCUCUACCUCUAUGCUCCCUGCCUCCACCUUGCCUUACCCCCGCUUCUAGCUGGUUGGGCGGCUUGUAUAUCAACUGCCUGAAUCAUGGGACGGAGACCUUGCUGCUGCGAUCGAGCACCUCUCAACCUCGGUAACUAUAUCCUGAUGUGAGUAAUAUCUCCACACUCAUAACACCCGCCUUAAUGUGGAAACUGAGAAAUCUGGGACUGACUAUGCCGUACUGAAUAACCUCCUCGAAGGCUCUAAAACGGUGGUGCACUGAUGGGAUGCUGAUCAUAAUAGUGUGGCUGAGAACCGCUACCACCCGAAGUAUCAUGAGAGACCUAAAGUGUUGACUGAAAGGGCCUCUGAGCAUUGCCUCUGCUAUAUGAAUCCCUACCUCCAGAUGAGGUACCACUUAACAUACCAGAAUGACGAGGCCUCUUAUCUGACCCCUGACUACCUCCUCGCACAAGUUCCAUCUUUAUCUUGCAGGGCGCAUUGGCCGCCUCCUAAAAAGAUAUAUCACUAUUGGCACCCAUAGCCAUUUGAAACUGGAUCGGCUCAAUAAACCCAUCAAUAAAUUUACGCACCCUCUCUCUUUCAGUGGGGAGUAUAACAAUAGCAUGGCGUGCCAAAUCAAUAAAACGAGUCUCAUAUUACAUGACUGUCAUGGUACUCUGAUGAAGACGCUCAAACGGCCUGCGUAAAGCAUCUCAUUCAGUCAUUGGGAGAAACUUUUCCAAGUACAACUCUCCAAACUGAUCCCAUGUCAACAAUGGUGACACUGCUGGCUUGGAUAAACAAUAUUCCCUCCACUUAGGCUUGGCGAAUACUACAAGCCAAAAGGUGAUGAAGUCGAUCCCAUUUUUCUCCACAAUAACCAUAAUCCUGAGAACCUCAUGGUAGUUGAAUAAGAAGUCCUGAGGGUCCUCUGUAGAAGAACCACUGAAGGUGGUGGUGAAUAGAUUGGUGAACCUAUCAUGCCACCACAAAGCAUUUACUGACAUCGCUGUACCAUCGCCGGUCUGAGCUAGAAUACCCGGCUGGGUUGCACAACUAGAUGAACUGAUGAAACCUGCGGCUGAAGAGCUACCUGCUCUGGAGUACGCGUAGUGGGAGUCUGAACUCCUCCCCCAACUUGAGAUGUGGAUGGUGCUACGGGAAGCAAACCCACUCCAGACACGCUCUCCAUAAAGCCUACUAGUCGAACCAAAGCGUCCUAGAGUACUGGAGUGGCUGUGGAACCCCUUCGAGACCUGAUCUAGGCCCACUAGAGCUGCUGUUGUUGGAACCUCCUCAACAUAGUCAACAUGAGGCUCCACCUCUAGGACUGCUACUCGGGGUUGAUUUCUGCCCCUGCCUCAGCCUCGCCCUUUGCCCCUAAUAGGAGCUGUUGGUGGGGGCUCGGGCUGCUGUGCGGUAGAAGAGGAAGCACGUGUUCUCGACAUCUGCGAAAAAAGAGAUAGAACGACAAUAAGUAUGUGAGGAAUAUAAUUUUCAAACCUCCUUUUUCGCAAUACACCCUCGCAAAAGUGCGUAAAGGAGUUUUUCUACUUAAAGCACAAUUGAAUAGGAUUUAGCUUGUUAAUUAUUCAGAGUAGCCACUUGGGAGAUUUAUGGUGUCCCAAUUCAUCGAUUUGAAUCCCAAACUGAGGAAUAUUAUGAAUCUGUUAACAGUCCGCGAACCAGAAAUCUGGAUAAGGAAUUCUGUUAACCCGGGAGAAUGUAUUAGGCAUUCCCGGGUUCUGUGGUUCUAGCAUGGUCGAUCAACUGUCAUAUUUGAUUUUAUCUGAUUUUAGUACAUGCUAGCAUAUGUGCCUUUUAUUGGUAUACCGCUUUUACCAUUAUUUAUUUAAAAAGACUUGCAACGUCGUGAAAAUACGUCUCUGACCACGUCGUCAUCAAGGCACCCGUGGUCCUCAACACAUUUCGACUUCGUCGAGAUUUAGAUUUUGGUCGCAUUAAUGCGCACCCGAGUAUAGGAAAUUAAUUUAAUUAAAUCACGCUUAUAGGUUCUAGAGUAAUAUUGUUUAUGAAAAGCCGUUGAAACUCGCUAAAAGGACCAUCCAAAUUCUAAUCAUUUUAAUAACCAAUUAUUGGGGGACCCACAUUUAUUUUUGUUCGGUGAGGCUCAUCUCCAUUUUUGAACAAAUUUUCGAUCAUUAUUUGUGUUAUAAGAAUUACGACGUCAUGAAAUGCAUUUCUAACCCCGUCGCCAUCAAGGCACCCGUGGUUAUCAACAUAUUUCGACUUCGUCGAGAUUUGGAUUUGGGUUGCAUCAAUGCACACCCGAUUUUAAGAAGGUACUUUAAUUAAAAUGCGUCUAAAGAUUCAAACGUAUUAUUAUUUUGGGGAAAAUCGUGAAAUUCACAAAAUGGUCCUCCUAUAUUCUAAAUAAAUUAUUGCAAUUAUUUAUCUAGGGCCCUGCAUUUGUUUUGUUUGGCGAGGCUCAUCUCAACAUUUGUUAAAAGGCCAACUUAAAAGUGACUAUGGAUUUUCUAUCUAGAUCAGUCUCUAAAAGGAAAAGAACAACAUUCCUAAUCAAUUAUUGACUAAACUCGAACCAAAGGCGUUGACAAUAGGACCAAUUUGUGGCCCAAACCAAGAGUAGAUCCACUAACACUCCUUAAGCCCUCAGUCGUGGGAUCGAUUCCCAGGGGACUAAAUUCAAAUGCAAAUCUGGGCUCGUUACCUUCACCUCCAGCAAGCGCAGACGUGAAUGAAAUCAAAUGACUAUGCUCAAAGUAGUUCAACCAAAUGUAAUUAACAAGUAAUAAUUAAAAGAGAGCAACACUCAUUCAUUUGGCUCACAUUAACAAUGACAAACUUCCAGAACAUUGAUUAAUCUCUAUAAGCUUACUAUGAAAUCACUUGAACGGAAAUUCUUCCCAGUAAUCUAACUAAAUUAUUUUUAUCCUGAAUUUUAGUAAUUGCUAACAACAACCUAGGUAUCAAUUAACUCUAAAGCUCAUUUGGAUUCAAACCUAUUGAAUUUCUCAACAGACAGUCCACUGCCUUCCCGUUUGAUCCUCAAUUAAAAAAUAAGUGAUGCCAUGACCUAAGGAACGAGUAAUUAAUUCAUAAUAACAAACUCAGCAACAAGUAAUCUGCAGUCCAGCAUAGUUCUAUUAUACAAAUUUAUUUAGACACUCAAAUAGCAGAUUAUUUUAUCAUUGAAACUAGGCAAAACAAAGUAAAUUAAAAAUUGGCUUCCAACAGCAAUUCUCAUGGCAUUUCGUCAUAUUCCUCAAAUCUAAAUUACAUAAAUGAAGAUUCAGAUUUGUACCUGGGAAUAGAGUUUUAACAAAAGAAUAGGAGUCAGCAACAGAAGUGAGAGUAUUAAACCAAAGCCAAUGCAACUAACAACAGUGUAUGAGCCAGAAAUGUAGACAAAAACCCAGGAUUGUUUGUAAUCGACCAAUAUGAGAAAAGCACACCCAAAUCAACUUCAACAAACCCACAAUAACUCAAAUAACUCCCAGCUUCAUUCUAAAAAAAACAACUCAACGUGAUUUCAGGACUUCAAUUACUCCUCAAUGAACUAAAAUGGUAAACAGGCAGCUAAUAUCAAAUUUGAAUUGCAAAACUUCAAUAGAACAGUCUGUUUCCUUAAUAUUUUUUUUGUUACUGCAUUUUCUAUUUUGUUUUUUUUUUUUUGGAUUUUUGAAAUUUUCUAUGAUUUUUUUUUGGUUUUUGAAUCAAAGGAAUGCUAAGAUCUAAAGUUUCUGAACUGAAAUUGAACUUCAAAAUCUGGAAAAUUGGACAGUAUACUAAGGGAUAUUUUUUAGCUAAAUAAAGAAGACCAUUUUACAAGGCAUUUGAUGCCAUUUUAUAGACAACAAGUAGGAACUUUAUCAGAUUUUUUCAAUUCUUUUUUAGUCCUUUUCUAUUUUAAUUUUAAUCCCUUUAUUUCUAACUUGUUGCUCAAGUAAAUACUACCAAAAAGCUGAAAGCUACAGUUUCACCCCAAUCUAGAAGCAUCUAGGAUACUCUUUUGGUUAUACAAUUCCUGAAUUACCCCUCCCAUAUUUUGAAUUUACUAUAUUUUAAGAUUCUGCCAUUUUCUAUGCCUAAACUGCCUUCUAACAUCCUCACAAAUACAUCAUCCACUAACUGAACUUAAGAACCUUACCCAGUUAUGGAUUUAACCCUAUUUAAACUAACCCUCGGCUAUAACCAAUUCCAUCAACUUACAAACCCCAAAAGUACUAUACUACCCUUAACCCUACCUUGCAAUUACUAUUUUUCAAGAUACUACCCUUUUCCAUUCCCAAAAUGCCCUUUAAACAUUCUGAAAAUUACACUAAAACUAACUGAACCCAGCCCCUUCAUCCGUAUCUAAAAUCUAACUAAAGUUAAUUAACAAGAUUUUUUCAGCUGCAACUUAUCUUAAACACUAAUUAACCCUAAUAUCCAAUAACAAAUUUAAAAACUGAUUAAGUGAAAUCAUCCCAAAUCCAAGUCUAAAUCCACCUUUGCAUGAACAGAACAAAGAAAAAUCCCGAUUAACUAACGACCAAUUAUCAUCACAACGUAUUAAAACUGAAUUAUCACUAUCAAACUAGAAGUGAAGGAGAAUGAUAUCACAAUUAAACUAAACAUAUAACACAAAUAAAUGAAAUUAUAACGAUAUUAGCAAGAACACAGUUGAAUCGAGCAUUCAUGAAUACGAGAGAAACACAAUAUGACAAAAUUGAUCAUAAGACCUGGCUGAUCGAAACAGAUGGAACGAAAAGGAAAAAGAUAAACUAAACUAUCCUAUUGAAGAAAAAAAUCAUAAAACUAAGGGACACUUACCAUAUAAGUCACUCAUUCCUGAACCAAAUCCGCAAAAGAGGUCAAGCUGCAUGAAUCCUAAAUCCGAAAAUACGCGAGCUCCACUAAGAUUCAAAAACUUCUGGCAUGGAAAUCCUCAUGAGAUAGGCUAGGGGAUUGUGGGGUACGAAUUUGAAACCAUUUGGGCAGAUUGCCAUUUUGGGCUCGAACUUCAGUCAAAUAUUCGAGGAGGUGCAGUUGGAUUCGAGGGAAGUUGGUGGCAUGAGUGGAAAGAGGAGAGUGAAUGGAGCAAUUGGUGUUAUUUUGGUUGGAUUUGUUGACCGGCGCUGCCACCAGCGGCUUAGAGAUUUUAGGGCGGCGGUCUCUAGGGUUUGAAGGAAAGGGGUAUGGGAGAGAUGACAAGAUGGGGUGGGGGGGGUUUGUUUGGACAUCUUUAUAUCCGAGUAGGCUAGUUCCUGGCCGUUAGAUGAGCUAAACUCGACGGCCAGGAUUGAAGAUCACUAAACGGUGCCGUUUGGGGUUCUAAAUAGACGAUGGAUUGGGUCGGGUGGCAUGGAGUUGGACUGUGGACUAGGUGAUGAAUUUGGACCAAUAUUUGUGAAUUGAACGGCCCAAUUUCAAAAUAGCUUUUUCUUUCUUUUUCUCUCUUUUUCCUCAUUUUUACUUUUGUAUCUCCUUUAUUUUUUAUUUUAUUAUUUUCUUUUAAUUUUAAAAAGGUGCAAAAAAUUAAACUAACAAUUAUCUAAAAUAAUUAAUGGCCUAAAAUUACAUUAAAACUAAUUCGCCAAUAAUUUCACAAUUAAAACAAUAAAAUUGCAAAAGGGAACUAUGUUUUGUGAUUUUCAUGCAUUGUCCUAACACAAUUUGACCCCUAAUUAACACAAAAAUUUGAAAUAGAAUCAUAAAUGUAAAUGCAUAAUUUUUUUGUAUUUUUUAUGAAUCAACAUGCACAUAUAAAAUGCAACAAUUAAAACAAAAUUCAAAAAAUAAUUAAAAAAAAGAAAAAUAAUUUUUUUUGAAUUUUAUGGGAAUAAUUCAUAUAUAGGGCAAAAAUCACGUGCUCAGCGCUACCCCUCUUUUCUUGGAACCAUGAAAUGUUUUCGAGCAAAGAUAAGUGAGAAAAUACGAGCGAUUUUUGCCCGUUUGAAAAUUUUGUUGUGAAGCAUUUUGAAAAGUUUUGACCGCACCCUGCUUCAGAGGUUGCCUACAUAUCCUGGGCUAACAGGAAUCAGGUCAGUGUAGUUCGGGAGUGUCUGGUAGCUGGGACUAUCAGGAGCUGUGAUUUCACUGCGCUUGCUGCUGCUGCUACUGCUCCUUACCUUCUUAUUACACCAUGUUGAAAAUAAAAGAAACUGACCUAAACUACAAGCUAAGAAUUACAAAAUCCAAUCUAGAAUCUUCAAACUUGCAUCUUGUACUUCCUUGGUGUAUUGCAUUUACUUGGUGAGACUCAUUGUUGUUACUUCAAAUCGUGCACUGAGAUGUUGUACCUUCCCUCCAAAUUGCUGAAUUUAAAUAAACUUGAACAUGAAUGUAUUCCUUUGUUUUCCAGGCGGGCUCCUGGUUGCUGAACUUGAGCUUGACUGUAUUCCUCUGUUAGCCAGGCGGACUCCCGACUUCAUAAAAGUAG